GAUGAACGCUAGCUACAGGCUUAACACAUGCAAGUCGAGGGGCAGCAUGGUCUUAGCUUGCUAAGGCCGAUGGCGACCGGCGCACGGGUGAGUAACGCGUAUCCAACCUGCCUUACACUCUUGGACAGCCUUCUGAAAGGGAGAUUAAUACAAGAUGUUAUCAUGAGUAAGCAUUUUCGCAUGAUUAAAGGUUUACCGGUGUAAGAUGGGGAUGCGUUCCAUUAGAUAGUAGGCGGGGUAACGGCCCACCUAGUCUUCGAUGGAUAGGGGUUCUGAGAGGAAGGUCCCCCACAUUGGAACUGAGACACGGUCCAAACUCCUACGGGAGGCAGCAGUGAGGAAUAUUGGUCAAUGGACGAGAGUCUGAACCAGCCAAGUAGCGUGAAGGAUGAAGGUUCUAUGGAUUGUAAACUUCUUUUAUACGGGAAUAAACGAAUCCACGUGUGGAUUUUUGCAUGUACCGUAUGAAUAAGGAUCGGCUAACUCCGUGCCAGCAGCCGCGGUAAUACGGAGGAUCCGAGCGUUAUCCGGAUUUAUUGGGUUUAAAGGGAGCGUAGAUGGGUUGUUAAGUCAGUUGUGAAAGUUUGCGGCUCAACCGUAAAAUUGCAAUUGAUACUGGCAGUCUUGAGUACAGUUGAGGUAGGCGGAAUUCGUGGUGUAGCGGUGAAAUGCUUAGAUAUCACGAAGAACUCCGAUUGCGAAGGCAGCUUACUAACCUGUAACUGACAUUGAUGCUCGAAAGUGUGGGUAUCAAACAGGAUUAGAUACCCUGGUAGUCCACACGGUAAACGAUGAAUACUCGCUGUAGGCGAUAUACAGUCUGCGGCCAAGCGAAAGCAUUAAGUAUUCCACCUGGGGAGUACGCCGGCAACGGUGAAACUCAAAGGAAUUGACGGGGGCCCGCACAAGCGGAGGAACAUGUGGUUUAAUUCGAUGAUACGCGAGGAACCUUACCCGGGCUUAAAUUGCAACCGAAUAUGGCGGAAACGCUAUAGCUAGCAAUAGCGGUUGUGAAGGUGCUGCAUGGUUGUCGUCAGCUCGUGCCGUGAGGUGUCGGCUUAAGUGCCAUAACGAGCGCAACCCUUGCCGAUAGUUACCAACAGGUCAUGCUGAGGACUCUGUCGGGACUGCCAUCGUAAGAUGUGAGGAAGGUGGGGAUGACGUCAAAUCAGCACGGCCCUUACGUCCGGGGCUACACACGUGUUACAAUGGGGGGUACAGAGGGCUGCUACCACGCAAGUGGAUGCCAAUCCCAAAAACCUCUCUCAGUUCGGAUUGAAGUCUGCAACCCGACUUCAUGAAGCUGGAUUCGCUAGUAAUCGCGCAUCAGCCACGGCGCGGUGAAUACGUUCCCGGGCCUUGUACACACCGCCCGUCAAGCCAUGGGAGCCGGGGGUACCUGAAGUGCGUAACCGCAAGGAGCGCCCUAGGGUAAAACUGGUGACUGGGGCUAAG
rnacentral:rRNA from 1 species